rnacentral:rRNA from 1 species
ACCAGACUCCUACGGGAGGCAGCAGUGGGGGAUAUUGCACAAUGGGGGGAACCCUGAUGCAGCGACGCCGCGUGGGUGAAGAAGCGCCUCGGCGCGUAAAGCCCUGUCAGCAGGGAAGAAAAUGACGGUACCUGAAGAAGAAGCCCCGGCUAACUACGUGCCAGCAGCCGCGGUAAUACGUAGGGGGCAAGCGUUAUCCGGAUUUACUGGGUGUAAAGGGGGCGCAGACGGCGAUGCAAGCCAGGAGUGAAAGCCCGGGGCCCAACCCCGGGACUGCUCUUGGAACUGCGUGGCUGGAGUGCAGGAGGGGCAGGCGGAAUUCCUGGUGUAGCGGUGAAAUGCGUAGAUAUCAGGAGGAACACCGGUGGCGAAGGCGGCCUGCUGGACGGCAACUGACGUUGAGGCCCGAAAGCGUGGGGAGCAAACAGGAUUAGAUACCCUCGUACGU